rnacentral:rRNA from 1 species
GCGGUAAUACGUAGGUGGCCAAGCGUUUUCCGGAAUUAUUGGGCGUAAAGCGCCGCCGGCUGGUCUCUUAGUUUGAUGUGAAAGCCCACGGCUCACCGUGGAGGGUCAUUGGAAACUGGGAGACUUGAAUGCAGGAGAGGAGAAGUGGAAUUCCACGUGUAGCGGUGAAAAUGCGUAGAGAUGUGGAGGAACACCAGUGGCGAAGGCGGUUUUUUUGCCUGUAACUGACGGUGAGGCGCGAAAGCGUGGGGAGCAAACAGGAUUAGAUACCCUGGUAGUUCACGCCGUAAACGAUGAGUGCUAGGUGUUGGGGGGUUCCACCCUCAGUGCUGAAGUUAACACAUUAAGCACUCCGCCUGGGGAGUACGACCGCAAGGUUGAAACUCAAAGGAAUUGACGGGGGCCCGCACAAGCAGUGGAGCAUGUGGUUUAAUUUGAAGCAACGCGAAGAACCUUACCAGGUCUUGACAUCCUCUGACCACUCUAGAGAUAGAGCUUUCCCCUUCGGGGGACAGAGUGACAGGUGGUGUAUGGUUGUCGUCAGCUCGUGUCGUGAGAUGUUGGGUUAAGUCCCGCAACGAGCGCAACCCUUGACCUUAGUUGCCAGCAUUCAGUUGGGCACUCUAAGGUGACUGCCGGUGACAAACCGGAGGAAGGUGGGGAUGACGUCAAAUCAUCAUGCCCCUUAUGACCUGGGCUACACACGUGCUACAAUGGGUGGUACAAAGGGUUGCGAAGCCGCGAGGCCAAGCCAAUCCCAAAAAGCCACUCUCAGUUCGGAUUGUAGGCUGCAACUCGCCUACAUGAAGCCGGAAUUGCUAGUAAUCGCGGAUCAGCAUGCCGCGGUGAAUACGUUCCCGGGCCUUGUACACACCCCCCGUCACACCCCGAGAGUUUGUAACACCCGAAGU